rfam:Ceratocystis platani strain CFO contig_01007, whole genome shotgun sequence.
GCAUCCGUGGCCGAGUGGUCUAAGGCGACUGACUCAAGUUCAGUUCUCUUCGGAGGCGUGGGUUCGAAUCCCACCGGAUGCA